rnacentral:rRNA from 1 species
UACGUAGGGCGCGAGCGUUGUCCGGAUUUAUUGGGCGUAAAGAGCUCGUAGGCGGCUUGUUGCGUCGACUGUGAAAACCCGCGGCUUAACUGCGGGCUUGCAGUUGAUACGGGCAGGCUAGAGUUCGGUAGGGGAGACUGGAAUUCCUGGUGUAGCGGUGAAAUGCGCAGAUAUCAGGAGGAACACCGGUGGCGAAGGCGGGUCUCUGGGCCGAUACUGACGUGAGGAGCGAAAGCGUGGGGAGCGAACAGG